AUAAGAAGAUCAUGCCUGACUAUAAGUGUGUUAGUAUUGAGGCCCAGAGUUAUGUUGCAUGGAUCUGCAAAAGAAUAAUCUGCAGAGUAAAGGGGCUGAUAUGGAUAGAGUUUGGGUGCUAUGUAUUGUCAUGGAAAACUAGUGGCUAAUAACUACCAGGGAGUCUAUACGCCAUAAUAAUUAAACUGGCUUAUUAAUUAAUAUAGUGUUUGGCAAUAGUCCAUCAUUAAUAUAACAGGUGGGCAGUGAUGUCACCGCCUGUAUACUUAUGUCACCGCCUGUAUAGCCAUAGUCAGAGAGCAACUAGUGCUUUGUGUAAGAUUGUGUCCCAAAAAACGUAACUCUCCGAUUGCAAGAGGUGUGCAGUGUAAAUUGUCCCACCUCCUGGCUAGAAAGAUUUGUUGUAUUGAGGUGUUCCAAUUUGCUGCUGUUUGUGCCACCAUAUUUGAGUACGGAUUCCUGGGUGCUUCCCUCUGG